rnacentral:rRNA from 1 species
ACGAACGCUGGCGGCGUGCUUAACACAUGCAAGUCGAACGGUGAAGCCCUUCGGGGUGGAUCAGUGGCGAACGGGUGAGUAACACGUGGGCAAUCUGCCCUGCACUCUGGGACAAGCCCUGGAAACGGGGUCUAAUACCGGAUAUGACCUGCUCUCGCAUGAGGGUGGGUGGAAAGCUCCGGCGGUGCAGGAUGAGCCCGCGGCCUAUCAGCUUGUUGGUGGGGUGAUGGCCUACCAAGGCGACGACGGGUAGCCG